CCUACGGGUGGCAGCAGUGAGGAAUAUUGGUCAAUGGGCGGGAGCCUGAACCAGCCAAGUCGCGUGAAGGACGACGGUCCUAUGGAUUGUAAACUUCUUUUGUCGAGGGACAAAAGCGCGCACGGGUGCGUGGCUGAGUGUACCUGAAGAAAAAGCAUCGGCUAACUCCGUGCCAGCAGCCGCGGUAAUACGGAGGAUGCGAGCGUUAUCCGGAUUUAUUGGGGUUAAAGGGUGCGUAGGCGGGCUGUUAAGUCAGCGGUAAAAGUGCGGGGCUCAACCCCGGACAGCCGUUGAAACUGGCAGUCUUGAGUUGGCGAGAGGUAUGCGGAAUGCGUGGUGUAGCGGUGAAAUGCUUAGAUAUCGCGCAGAACUCCGAUUGCGAAGGCAGCAUACCGGCGGCGAACUGACGCUGAGGCACGAAAGCGUGGGUAUCGAACAGGAUUAGAUACCCUAGUAGUC
rnacentral:rRNA from 1 species